AGCCACUGCGAAGCAUCAGAACAAAGAUUAACCAAUGAUAACAUUCUUAAGAGUUAAGAUCGCUUAAUUGGCCUUGCUCUGACUUUUCAACGUUAAAAGGACACUGUGAAACGUGAAUAGAACAAUGUUAUAUAAAACAGAAAACUUGAAACUAACAUCAGCAGGGCUAAUUAGCCACCGCUAGCCCAUUUCCAUUGUUAACAACUUUUACGUGAUGUCUGAAUGAACAUGCAAUUGUUUAAGAUCCUGAGUAAUAACAAGUUUGUACGUUUAAGACUAGACUUUGAAGGCCCCCCCAUGCUACGGAGAUCACGUCGCCUGCUAAAGCAACGGGCUUUGCUAGCACUAAGCUAUUCCACAAAUUACAGUCUUUUAUCUAGUAACAGUCUUAAUACUGGUUGUUCUGAGACUCUGAAACGACUGGGUGCAAAUGUGGCAUGAUAUUCCAAACUUAAAAACGCUAACUGCCGCGGGGUCUCCUCCUCCGAGCGACACCAUCCAAUGGGAGCCGCGGCACCACAAGAUCAACGCGCCCCCUAUCGGCAGCGACAGGAACAGCAGCAACAGUUACCUGCAGUCUAUCAGAUAAACCACCAGUGGAGCAGCCGGUCCAGACAGUGUGACGCAGCAGUUCCUGUCAUGAGUAUUUCCCAAAUUUCUGAGCCUCAGGGGUGAAAGUCUCAAGGAUGUAAGUAUCUGU